rnacentral:rRNA from 1 species
UACGUAGGGUGCAAGCGUUAAUCGGAAUUACUGAGCGUAAGCGUGCGCAGGCGGUUUUGUAAGUCAGAUGUGAAAUCCCCGGGCUUAACCUGGGAACUGCGUUUGAAACUACAAGGCUAGAGUGUGGCAGAGGGGGGUGGAAUUCCACGUGUAGCAGUGAAAUGCGUAGAGAUGUGGAGGAACACCGAUGGCGAAGGCAGCCCCCUGGGUUAACACUGACGCUCAUGCACGAAAGCGUGGGGAGCAAACAGG